UACAGAGGGGGCAAGCGUUGUUCGGAAUUACUGGGCGUAAAGGGCGCGUAGGCGGCCUGUUAAGUCGAACGUGAAAUCCCCGGGCUCAACCCGGGAACUGCGUCCGAAACUGGCAGGCUUGAAUUCGGGAGAGGGAUGCGGAAUUCCAGGUGUAGCGGUGAAAUGCGUAGAUAUCUGGAGGAACAUCGGUGGCGAAGGCGGCAUCCUGGACCGAUAUUGACGCUGAGGCGCGAAAGCCAGGGGAGCAAACGGGAUUAGAAACCCCCGUAGUCC
rnacentral:rRNA from 1 species